UCCUAGAGUAGCACUCGCAUAUCAAUAAGCGGAGGAAAAGAAACUAACAAGGAUUCCCCUAGUAACGGCGAGUGAAUCGGGAAGAGCUCAAAUUUGAAAUCUUAAAGGGUUUCCCUUUACGAAUUGUAGUUUAAAGAAGUGUUUUCUGUUGAGGUUUUGGUAAAAGUUCUUUGGAAUAGGACAUCAUAGAGGGUGAGAAUCCCGUAUUUGACCUUUACUUUCAACUUUGUGAUACACUUUCAAAGAGUCGGAUUGUUUGGGAAUGCAGUCCAAAAUGGGUGGUAAAUUUCAUCUAAAGCUAAAUAUUGGCGAGAGACCGAUAGCGAACAAGUACCGUGAGGGAAAGAUGAAAAGAACCUUGAAAAGAGAGUUAAACAGUACGUGAAAUUGUCAAAAGGGAAGCGUUUGACACCAGUGUUGUUUUUCUGAAAAUCAAUUAAAGAACUGUUUAUGCUAAGUUGUUUAGGACUUUAUCAGCAGCUAACUGUUUAGUUUUGAGCUUUUCUUUAAUGCACUUUUCAGUUAACAAGUCAACAUCAAUUUCUUUUGCUGUAAAAAAGCUUGAGGAAGGUGGCUUGAGAUUCGUCUUAAGUGUUUAUAGCCUCUUGCCUAUGCAGUCGGAGAGAUUGAGGUCUGCAGCGUAGAUCCUUCGGGGCUAAAUGCAUUUGUGCUAAGUUAUAGCAUUUUAUAGACAACUUGUUGACUAUGAUUUGUCUUGUAGCUUACUCGCUUAUGUUAUUUUACCUACGCUUAGGAUGUUGAGUAGCGACAUACGCAC
rnacentral:rRNA from 1 species